CCACUUUUAACGUUUUCUUGAAAAAAUCAACAACCUUUUUUUCUUUGCUUCUCCGUCGGUGGUUCUCAGUUCGAGACAAUACUCAUCUCUGUAAUCACCAACAAAAAUUCUUUAAAAGUAUAUCAAAUCCAGGAUAAACACCGUUCAGUCAAUCACCAAACUCAAUCGAUAACUGAGUUCUCGGUAAUUGGCCAGGAUUGUUUAAACGAUGGAUCUUUAAAAAGACAAAAGCAGAGUAGAAGACAAACCUGACAGAGAUUUUAAAAAGUUAAGUCUGACCUGAAAUAUAAUCAUAGUACAUAUGUUCACAUCAACACAGUUUUAUUUAUUCUCUUGUUGAUCUUUUGCUAUGUUUUCGUUUAUAUUAUUUCCUUGUUCUUAUUUUUUUUGUCUUUUCAUCUCAUAUAUUGAUAGGUCAUUGAUAAGGGUUGUAUGCCAGAGAAACUGGGGAAUACAGCUUUGGAACAAUUCACAAAAUAAACUACAGAAACAAAGAUUGGGAACGCAGCCGAUGACCAUCAUCCUCAAACCGAGGUUGAUGCUUUCUUUUCAUCCUCUUCAUUGAAGGGCUAUGUUAGCAGAAACUACACGGUUUGUUCUCAGUUACAUGCACUGGAACUGAGGAAUAGUAUAAUCACCUUUAAAACAAAGUUGAUAGGAUGCAAAUAUAGAUUUAUCAAACAAUCUACUUUGGCUUAUUUACUAAAGGGAGUUCAACAACAGCUUAUUAAAGGUGGAAUUGGUGACGUUGGAGUUGCUGAUGAUCGACAUUUUGUACUUAUGACUUGUCGGUCGGUACUUUCCGGCAGCUGCGGUUAGUGAGAAAUUUUCAAUGAACCUCCAUUGUCCAACUUGAAGUUUCUUAACACGAGCAAAGAAGAGUCUCUUGCAGCAAGAAUGAACUGAAGAGAAUCUCCACCAGAAUAAGAUGAAUGUUGUGUCCAUGAAUGCAGGACUUUAACUUCGACCUUCCAAGAUGUUUUGUAUGGUUUGACAUCAUUGAGCAAAGUCAUCGUCGGGUCUGAGGUAAUCAUAGCCAUACGAGUGUACGUUUUUUUUUUGCGGACAUAGGAGGUAUUAGUUGAUCGUCUUAUUAUUUAUAGUGAUCAUUAAACGUUUAGGUUUAAUGAUAGCGUGCUGAAGAUUUGAUUUGAUAUCCAUAUAGUUAAAUUCGAUAGAAUAUUCUGAUUACCAUAUUCUGUUGGAGUUGUUAUAUAAAUUGAAGAUCUAAAAGAUUAUGAACGUAGAUGGAUAGUCGAUUAAAAACGUAGUAGAAAAAUAAGGGAGGAAAUCUUGUUGAUUAUUCAAGAUAUACUAUAUUAAGUUGUUAUUGAUUAUUGAUAACUUGGUGUGCACGUCAAGACAGUUUAGAUUUGAUGAAAUCUUUCUGGUAAAUAUCUUUAUAAAUUUUCUUGUAGAUAAGAAUUGUUUAUGAAAACAGUAUAUUCAAAUUUAAAAUAAAAUAUCUUUAAAAUGAUAUAUGCACGAAAAUUAGGUGUAAAAUGAUCAUGUAUCUAACAUACAUAUUCUUUAUGUGAUGAACAUGUCGAUGAUAAAUUUAUUAGAAGUCAACUUAGAGCAAAGUUACAUACAUGAUAAAUCUCUUAAAAGUCGAUGACUAAUAAGGUGUAAUAUGAAAUUGUAUCUAACAUACAUGUUCUUUGUUAGAAGUCAACAAUCAGCAAGGUAUAUAUGUAAUUCGUUUGUUAUAAGCGUGACUAAUAAGGUGUAAUA